CUCAAUGUGGUGCAACGGAUAGCACGUAAGAUUCCGGUUCUUAAGAUGGGGGUUCGAUUCCCUCCGAUGGCG
rnacentral:tRNA from 2 species